rnacentral:rRNA from 1 species
UACGUAGGGGGCAAGCGUUUGUCCGGAUUUAUUGGGCGUAAAGAGCGUGUAGGCGGCCAUACAGGUCCGUUGUGAAAACUCGAGGCUUAAACCUCGAGACGUCGAUGGAAACCGUAUGGCUAGAGUCCGGAAGAGGAGAGUGGAAUUCCUGGUGUAGCGGUGAAAUGCGCAGAUAUCAGGAAGAACACCCGUGGCGAAGGCGGCUCUCUGGGACGGUACUGACGCUGAGACGCGAAAGCGUGGGGAGCGAACAGG